rnacentral:misc_RNA from 1 species
AAAAGUCACAAACUGCUAGUUGAAAUGCUUAGCAUCAUCCAAUGACUAGUUUACCUGGUAGCAGAAGCAUUGGUCAUUUAACUGGGUAGACGCAAAAACCAAAUUAUUUCAAUACUUAAACUAGCUUCGUGAUUAUUACUGAAUUUUCUCCUAUGUACAACUUUGAGAUUACAAUAGACUCAUCUGUCAUUCUGUUGCAUGAUAUAAGCAACUCUUGGUCACCAAAACCAAUUCCCCCUCCACUCCCUCAACUGAAAAACAACAAAAGGGAGAUAACUAAAGACCCUAAAUAAUAAUAAUAAUAAACACUAACAUCAACUCUUCAACAAGUUACAAGGAAGUCAAAGACAGUUCUCACUUCUCAGGUUUCAAAGAUUGAAAAAGAUCUUUAAAGUACUUGGAGUCAGCGGCUGCCACUGCAGCCAUAGCAGCACUAGUGGUAGCAGAAGUCGGUGACAUAGGAGAAGCAAAAGAAUUGCUGGGGCUAACAUCUCUCUGGUCUUCGUUAAUUGUAUCCAACACCUUUGAUCUUCUGUGACUUAUGACACUAAUGUAUUGUGGUGGUGCAACUUCUAUAAUGAACUUUGCUAUGCGUGAAUUAGCCAUUUCUUUCAAGUAUUUCAAAGGGUUAAGAGCUUAGAAUUUAGAAAGAGGAAAAACUGAAAGAUAAGAACCCAGUGGGAAAAGGGUUUGCGGAGGAAAGGCUUGGUUUGGGAUGGGCAUGAACUUAAGAUGUGGGUAAGAUUUAUGGGGACAUGUUU